CCAAUAGCGUAUAUUAAAGUUGCUGCAGUUAAAAAGCUCGUAGUUGAAUUUCGGGACCAAUAUGUCGGUCGUGCCUCGGUACGUACUGGCAUCGUUGGUUUCUCCCUUCUGACGAACCAUGAUGUCAUUUAUUUGGUGUCGUGGGGAAUCAGGACUGUUACUUUGAAAAAAUUAGAGUGUUUAAAGCAGGCUCACGCUUGAAUACAUUAGCAUGGAAUAAUGAAAUAGGAGGUUUGAUUCUAUUUUGUUGGUUUCUAGGAUCGACGUAAUGAUUAAUAGGGUUAGUUGGGGGCAUUAGUAUUCAAUUGUCAGAGGUGAAAUUCUUGGAUUUAUUGAAGACUAACUACUGCGAAAGCAUUUGCCAAGGAUGUUUUCAUUAAUCAAGAACGAAAGUUAGGGGAUCGAAGACGAUCAGAUACCGUCGUAGUCUUAACCAUAGACUAUGCCGACUAGGGAUCGGAUGAUGUUAAUUUUUUAAUGACUCAUUCGGCGCCUUACG
rnacentral:rRNA from 1 species